GAUGAAGAACGCAGCGAAAUGCGAUAAUUAAUGUGAAUUGCAGAAUUCCGUGAAUCAUCGAGUCUUUGAACGCACAUUGCGCCUCAUGGCAUUCCGUGAGGCAUGCCCAUCUCAGCGUGAGAAAAUAUUCUCAAAUUUUAGUUUUGUGCUAAAAUUUGGAUCAUGUCAAAGAAGCUAUUACUAUUAUUGUGAUCGCUCUUUGGAAAUUGAUAGGUCUUUGAGUUGCUACUCAUAGAACGUGAUGAAUCUUUCUUCGUUCUAUUGUAAUUCACUCUGAUAGUCCUAAAACUUGUAUGCCUGUGGCAUAUCUUGUAAUUUGACCUGAGAUUGGGUAGGGAUACCCGCUGAACUUAAGCAUAUCAAUAAGCGGAGGA
rnacentral:misc_RNA from 1 species